rnacentral:rRNA from 1 species
GAUGCCCACAGUAGCGGCGAGCGAAGAGGGCAGAGCCUAAACCAGUCAUCUUCGGAUGGUUGGGGUUACGGACCUGCAUCAACCGAGUCCUACCUAGUCGAAUUACCUGGAAAGGUAAGCCAGAGAGCGUAAGAGCCGCGUAGGUGAAAGGAGGGACGAGGGGGCAGGGAUCCAGAGUACCACGAAGCACGAGGAAUUUUGUGGGAAGUCGGGGGGACCACCCUCCAAGGCUAAACACUUCUUAGUGACCGAUAGCGCAUAGUACCGUGAGGGAAAGGUGAAAAGAACCGCGGGAGCGGAGUGAAAGAGAACCUGAAACCGUAUGUCUACAAGCAGUCGGAGCGCAAGCGACGGCGUGCCUAUUGAAGAAUGAGCCAACGAGUUACGGGCACCAGCGAGGUUAAGCAGGAAAUGCGGAGCCGGAGCGAAAGCGAGUCUAAACAGGGCGAAUAGUUGGUGUUCGUAGACCCGAAACUGUAGUGAUCUACCCAUGAUCAGGUUGAAGCGCAGGUAAAAAUGCGUGGAGGACCGAACCGGUGAGCGUUGAAAAGCUUUCGGAUGAAUCGUGGGUAGCGGUGAAAUUCCAAUCGAACGCGGAGAUAGCUGGUUCUCCCCGAAAUAGCUUUAGGGCUAGCCUCAAGCAGUAAGCAUAGGCGGUAGAGCACUGAUCGGGAUAGGGUCCGUAAAGGAUACCGAACCCUGUCAAACUACGAAUGGUUAUGCUGCAGAGCUUGGGAGUCAGACUACGAGAGAUAAGUCCCGUUGUCAAAAGGGAAACAGCCCAGACCGUCAGCUAAGGUCCCCAAUGCCAUACUAAGUGGAAAAGGAUGUGGGGUCUCAUAAACAACCAGGAUGUUGGCUCAGAAGCAGCCACCAUUUAAAGAGUGCGUAAUAGCUCACUGGUCGAGAGGCCCUGCGCCGAAGAUUCCCGGGGCUAAAGUAUGGAACCGAAGCUACGGAUGCGGUACUUGUACCGCGUGGUAGAGGAGCGUUCCCAUUGGGUUGAAGUCGUCCUGGAAGGGACGGUGGACUGGUGGGAAGUGAGAAUGUUGGCAUGAGUAGCGAAAAGAUAGGUGAGAAUCCUAUCCACCGAAAGCAUAAGGAUUCCUGAGCAACGAUCGUCGUCUCAGGGUAAGUCGGGACCUAAUCCGAGGCAUGGAGCGUAGGAGAUGGACAACUGGUUGAUAUUCCAGUACCGGCAGCAAUCGUUUGAACGAUGGAGUGACGCAGGAAGGCAGGUCCGCGCGAGAAUGGUAGAUCGCGUACAAGCGUGCAGGCUGGUGCACAGGCAAAUCCGUGUACUGAGGCUGAGGCGUGAUGUGGAGGGAACUUGUUCCCGAAGGGAUUGAGCCUACGCUGCCGAGAAAAGCUUCUAGUGAGAAAGCUGCCGCCCGUACCGUAAACCGACACAGGUAUGCGGGGAGAGAAUCCUAAGGUGCGCGGGAGAACCCUCGUUAAGGAACUCGGCAAAAUGUACCCGUAACUUCGGGAUAAGGGUAGCCACAGUGGUGAAGGGACUUGCUCCUGGAGCCUAGUGUGGUCGCAGAGAAGAGGCCCAAGCGACUGUUAACCAGAAACACAGGUGCCUGCGAAAGAGAAAUCUGAUGUAUAGGUGCUGACACCUGCCCAGUGCUGGAAGGUUAAAGAAGGAUGUCCGGGUUCGACCCAAAGCAUUUGACUGAAGCCCCAGUGAACGGCGGCCGUAACUAUAACGGUCCUAAGGUAGCGAAAUUCCUUGUCGGGUAAGUUCCGACCCGCACGAAAGGUGUAACGAUUUGGGCACUGUCUCAACGAGGGACCCGGUGAAAUUGAAAUACCUGUGAAGAUGCAGGUUACCCGCGACUGGACAGAAAGACCCCAUGGAGCUUUACUGUAACCUAAUAUUGGGUUCUGAUAUUCGACGCACAGGAUAGGUGGGAGGCUUGGAGCAUGGUCCUCUGGGAUCAUGGGAGCCGCCGUUGGGAUACCACCCUUCGAAUAUCGGGAUUCUAACCGCAGGAGCAACGAUCCUCGGGACAGUGUUAGGCGGGCAGUUUGACUGGGGCGGUCGCCUCCUAA